UACGUAGGGUGCAAGCGUUGUCCGGAAUUAUUGGGCGUAAAGAGCUCAUAGGCGGUUUGUCGCGUCUGCUGUGAAAACCCGAGGCUCAACCUCGGGCCUGCAGUGGGUACGGGCAGACUAGAGUGCGGUAGGGGAGAUUGGAAUUCCUGGUGUAGCGGUGGAAUGCGCAGAUAUCAGGAGGAACACCGAUGGCGAAGGCAGGUCUCUGGGCCGAUACUGACGCUGAGGAGCGAAAGCGUGGGGAGCGAACAGG
rnacentral:rRNA from 1 species